AUUGAACGCUGGCGGCAGGCUUAACACAUGCAAGUCGAGCGGAGAUGAGGUGCUUGCACCUUAUCUUAGCGGCGGACGGGUGAGUAAUGCUUAGGAAUCUGCCUAUUAGUGGGGGACAACAUUCCGAAAGGAAUGCUAAUACCGCAUACGUCCUACGGGAGAAAGCAGGGGAUCUUCGGACCUUGCGCUAAUAGAUGAGCCUAAGUCGGAUUAGCUAGUUGGUGGGGUAAAGGCCUACCAAGGCGACGAUCUGUAGCGGGUCUGAGAGGAUGAUCCGCCACCCUGGGACUGAGACACGGCCCAGACUCCUACGGGAGGCAGCAGUGGGGAAUAUUGGACAAUGGGGGAAACCCUGAUCCAGCCAUGCCGCGUGUGUGAAGAAGGCCUUAUGGUUGUAAAGCACUUUAAGCGAGGAGGAGGCUACUGAGACUAAUACUCUUGGAUAGUGGACGUUACUCGCAGAAUAAGCACCGGCUAACUCUGUGCCAGCCGCCGCCAUAA
rnacentral:rRNA from 1 species